rnacentral:rRNA from 1 species
GUGGGGAAUAUUGGGCAAUGGGCGCAAGCCUGACCCAGCAACGCCACGUGAAGGAAGAAGGCUUUCGGGUUGUAAACUUCUUUUACCAGGGACGAAACAAAUGACGGUACCUGGUGAAUAAGCCACGGCUAACUACGUGCCAGCAGCCGCGGUAAUACGUAGGUGGCGAGCGUUAUCCGGAUUUAUUGGGUGUAAAGGGCGUGUAGGCGGGACAGCAAGUCAGAUGUGAAAACCAGAGGCUCAACCUCUGGCCUGCAUUUGAAACUGUUGUUCUUGAGUGUCGGAGAGGUAAUCGGAAUUCCGUGUGUAGCGGUGAAAUGCGUAGAUAUACGGAGGAACACCAGUGGCGAAGGCGGAUUACUGGACGAUAACUGACGCUGAGGCGCGAAAGCGUGGGGAGCAAACAGGAUUAGAAACCCGGGUAGUCC